CUCCCCUUUCCUCAGUUGCUGGAAGUCAGUUAAAUGCAAUUUAUUCUGAAAGUUCCAGAAAAGUCCGUACCGGAGUUUUAAUGUUGUUUCCAUGGCUGGGUCCCAACAGGAAUUUGAGAAAAAUCAUGGAAAAAACAGCUAAACGUCGUCAGUGGACAACAUGAAUUCAGACACGUGUUACCUGGAGCUCUUAGAGGAUGAAAACAGUUUAUUCUAUUCCCAAAACCUAAAGGGAGUUUUGAAAUAUGUAAAAGAUGGAUAAAGACCUGCAGCUGAACACGACAGUGAUGGACGGGAACGACCACAUGUUCUUCUGUAUGAAGUAUGAGUACCAGCACUUACAGCAAGGAGCUUCUGAUGCUGCUGUUCAGGCUUCAACGCCAGAGAGCUUCACUGGAUAUGUUGGCAUCGCUUGCUGAAAACGAAUCUUUAAGGCAACAACUGCAAGCAGACCAAAAGAGUUAUGCUAGGAUGCUGUCCCAUCAAGUGUUAAAAAAUAAAAAUCUGCAGUAGGAAAAUAUAAGGCUUUAGAAGGAACUCUGUGGAAGGACACACAAUAGUUCAACAAAGGGCUUAGUGUCAGUAGAAAGCUUAAGGCACUGUAAAGUAAAAGGGAACUUCAUGUACUAUACUGGUUUCUCAUACCUGCUGUUUGCUGUUGUUUUUACAUUUCUAGUACCAAACAAAUCCGAAUGCCCAAUAAAGUUUCCAAGAACACUCACAAGCCUAAAAACUUUCCUUUGAGAAUCAUUUACUUCUGACUUUAAUGAAACUAUGCUUAAACGUUCAAACACUGAGGUAAUCUUUUGGGAAUUUCAUCACAAGAUUCUGGUGCAUUGUUUAGGCAGUGGAUAAAUGACAUGUUGUCUCUAUAUGGUCACAUUGAGAUGUGAUAAUUGAUCACAUGCCAGAAAAUUCAAGCAGGACUUUCCAAGCACUAUUUUCAUACUUGAUGGAACUAAACUUUAACUUGAAAAGCCCAGCUCCCUACGUUCACAGUCAAAUGUACUCCAGCUACAAGUCCUGCACCCCUCUCAAAGAUUAUGUGGAGUAGAUCCCCAUGGAUUGUUUCCUUUCAUCUCUGCAUUAUUCUCGGGAUCCAUGUCAGAUAAGGAAAUCACUAUUCAAAGUGGACUAUUGGAUGUGCUACAGCAGCUAUUAGAAAGUUGGAAGCUAAAACAUGGAGACUGUGUUAUGGUUGAUAAAGGAUUUUUGAUAAGAGGAAGAAAUGACAAGGAUUGGUCUGAAACUCUUCAUCCCCCAUUUGUGUCAGGAUCAGGUCAGCUGACAUCAGGUGACGUUUUAAUGACAAAUAAAAUAGCAAAACAUCAAGUUAAUGUAGAAAGAUCUAUAUCAAGAGCUAAGGAGGUUAAAAUUGUUAAUGACAAAAUCUAACUGAGCCAUUUCCUGUGUAUAAAUCAAAACUGGUUUUACAAUUUUUUGAAAGGAUUUUUGGCAUUUCUUAUUAAGUAAUGAAAUUAAACUUAUGUGAACAGAAUUAGAGGGAGUAAUACCCGAUAAGACAGUGUACUAAUGUGGUCUGUGCACAGUCUGCACCGCCUCAGUGGGAGUGUUUGAGAGGUAUGAUAAGUGGCAGCAGGUGGUGCAAAAAACAGAAGUCAGAAUUUAUAACUAGCUUGAAAAUGUGAUAUACUGUUUAAUGAAAUACACGCUUAGUGGUUGACAUAAGCAAUGUCAAUAAUUGAAAAUGUUCUUUUUUUUUUUAUGUGUUUGACAAAUAAAAAA